rnacentral:rRNA from 1 species
GGGUUGUGAGGUUAAGCGACUAAGCGUACACGGUGGAUGCCCUGGCAGUCAGAGGCGAUGAAGGGCGUGCUAAUCUGCGAUAAGCGCCGGUAAGGUGAUAUGAACCGUUAUAACCGGCGAUACCCGAAUGGGGAAACCCAGUGUGAUUCGUCACACUAUCAUUAACUGAAUCCAUAGGUUAAUGAGGCGAACCGGGGGAACUGAAACAUCUAAGUACCCCGAGGAAAAGAAAUCAACCGAGAUUCCCCCAGUAGCGGCGAGCGAACGGGGAGGAGCCCAGAGCCUGAAUCAGCAUGUGUGUUAGUGGAAGCGUCUGGAAAGGCGCGCGAUACAGGGUGACAGCCCCGUACACAAAAGCGCAUGUGCUGUGAGCUCGAUGAGUAGGGCGGGACACGUGGUAUCCUGUCUGAAUAUGGGGGGACCAUCCUCCAAGGCUAAAUACUCCUGACUGACCGAUAGUGAACCAGUACCGUGAGGGAAAGGCGAAAAGAACCCCGGCGAGGGGAGUGAAAAAGAACCUGAAACCGUGUACGUACAAGCAGUGGGAGCNNGUGACUGCGUACCUUUUGUAUAAUGGGUCAGCGACUUAUAUUCUGUAGCAAGGUUAACCGAAUAGGGGAGCCGGAGGGAAACCGAGUCUUAAUUGGGCGUUAAGUUGCAGGGUAUAGACCCGAAACCCGGUGAUCUAGCCAUGGGCAGGUUGAAGGUUGGGUAACACUAACUGGAGGACCGAACCGACUAAUGUUGAAAAAUUAGCGGAUGACCUGUGGCUGGGGGUGAAAGGCCAAUCAAACCGGGAGAUAGCUGGUUCUCCCCGAAAGCUAUUUAGGUAGCGCCUCGUGAAUUCAUCUCCGGGGGUAGAGCACUGUUUCGGCUAGGGGGCCAUCCCGGCUUACCAACCCGAUGCAAACUGCGAAUACCGGAGAAUGUUAUCACGGGAGACACACGGCGGGUGCUAACGUCCGUCGUGAAGAGGGAAACAACCCAGACCGCCAGCUAAGGUCCCAAAGUCAUGGUUAAGUGGGAAACGAUGUGGGAAGGCCCAGACAGCCAGGAUGUUGGCUUAGAAGCAGCCAUCAUUUAAAGAAAGCGUAAUAGCUCACUGGUCGAGUCGGCCUGCGCGGAAGAUGUAACGGGGCUAAACCAUGCACCGAAGCUGCGGCAGCGACGCUUAUGCGUUGUUGGGUAGGGGAGCGUUCUGUAAGCCUGUGAAGGUGUGUCGUGAGGCAUGCUGGAGGUAUCAGAAGUGCGAAUGCUGACAUAAGUAACGAUAAAGCGGGUGAAAAGCCCGCUCGCCGGAAGACCAAGGGUUCCUGUCCAACGUUAAUCGGGGCAGGGUGAGUCGACCCCUAAGGCGAGGCCGAAAGGCGUAGUCGAUGGGAAACGGGUUAAUAUUCCCGUACUUGGUGUUACUGCGAAGGGGGGACGGAGAAGGCUAUGUUGGCCGGGCGACGGUUGUCCCGGUUUAAGCGUGUAGGUGUGUGUUCCAGGUAAAUCCGGUUCACUUUAACACUGAGGCGUGAUGACGAGGCACUACGGUGCUGAAGUAACAAAUGCCCUGCUUCCAGGAAAAGCCUCUAAGCAUCAGGUAACAUCAAAUCGUACCCCAAACCGACACAGGUGGUCAGGUAGAGAAUACCAAGGCGCUUGAGAGAACUCGGGUGAAGGAACUAGGCAAAAUGGUGCCGUAACUUCGGGAGAAGGCACGCUGACACGUAGGUGAAGUGAUUUACUCAUGGAGCUGAAGUCAGUCGAAGAUACCAGCUGGCUGCAACUGUUUAUUAAAAACACAGCACUGUGCAAACACGAAAGUGGACGUAUACGGUGUGACGCCUGCCCGGUGCCGGAAGGUUAAUUGAUGGGGUCAGCGCAAGCGAAGCUCCUGAUCGAAGCCCCGGUAAACGGCGGCCGUAACUAUAACGGUCCUAAGGUAGCGAAAUUCCUUGUCGGGUAAGUUCCGACCUGCACGAAUGGCGUAAUGAUGGCCAGGCUGUCUCCACCCGAGACUCAGUGAAAUUGAACUCGCUGUGAAGAUGCAGUGUACCCGCGGCAAGACGGAAAGACCCCGUGAACCUUUACUAUAGCUUGACACUGAACAUUGAGCCUUGAUGUGUAGGAUAGGUGGGAGGCUUUGAAGUGUGGACGCCAGUCUGCAUGGAGCCGACCUUGAAAUACCACCCUUUAAUGUUUGAUGUUCUAACGUGGACCCGUUACCCGGGUUGCGGACAGUGUCUGGUGGGUAGUUUGACUGGGGCGGUCUCCUCCUAAAGAGUAACGGAGGAGCACGAAGGUUGGCUAAUCCUGGUCGGACAUCAGGAGGUUAGUGCAAUGGCAUAAGCCAGCUUGACUGCGAGCGUGACGGCGCGAGCAGGUGCGAAAGCAGGUCAUAGUGAUCCGGUGGUUCUGAAUGGAAGGGCCAUCGCUCAACGGAUAAAAGGUACUCCGGGGAUAACAGGCUGAUACCGCCCAAGAGUUCAUAUCGACGGCGGUGUUUGGCACCUCGAUGUCGGCUCAUCACAUCCUGGGGCUGAAGUAGGUCCCAAGGGUAUGGCUGUUCGCCAUUUAAAGUGGUACGCGAGCUGGGUUUAGAACGUCGUGAGACAGUUCGGUCCCUAUCUGCCGUGGGCGCUGGAGAACUGAGGGGGGCUGCUCCUAGUACGAGAGGACCGGAGUGGACGCAUCACUGGUGUUCGGGUUGUCAUGCCAAUGGCACUGCCCGGUAGCUAAAUGCGGAAGAGAUAAGUGCUGAAAGCAUCUAAGCACGAAACUUGCCCCGAGAUGAGUUCUCCCUGAGACUUAAAGUCUCCUGAAGGAACGUUGAAGACGACGACGUUGAUAGGCCGGGUGUGUAAGCGCAGCGAUGCGUUGAGCUAACCGGUACUAAUGAACCGUGAGGCUUAACCUUACAACGCCGAAG